rnacentral:rRNA from 1 species
AGAAUCAACGCUGGCGGCGUGCCUAACACAUGCAAGUCGCACGAGAAAGGGACUUCGGUCCUGAGUAAAGUGGCGCACGGGUGAGUAACACGUGAAUCAUCUACCUCCGAAUGGGGAAUAACUGAGAGAAAUCUUAGCUAAUACCGCAUAAUACCUACGGGUCAAAGCAGCAAUGCGUUUGGAGAGGAGUUCGCGGUCGAUUAGUUAGUUGGCGGGGUAAUGGCCCACCAAGACGAUGAUCGAUAUCCGGCCUGAGAGGGCGCACGGACACACUGGAACUGAAACACGGUCCAGACUCCUACGGGAGGCAGCAGUGGGGAAUUUUGCGCAAUGGGGGAAACCCUGACGCAGCAACGCCGCGUGGAGGAUGAAAUAUCUUGGUAUGUAAACUCCUUUCGAUGGGAAGAUAAUGACGGUACCAUAGAAGAAGCCCGGCUAACUUCGUGCCAGCAGCCGC